rnacentral:rRNA from 1 species
UGGGGAAUAUUGGACAAUGGGCGAAAGCCUGAUCCAGCCAUGCCGCGUGUGUGAAGAAGGUCUUCGGAUUGUAAAGCACUUUAAGUUGGGAGGAAGGGCAGUAAGCGAAUACCUUGCUGUUUUGACGUUACCGACAGAAUAAGCACCGGCUAACUCUGUGCCAGCAGCCGCGGUAAUACAGAGGGUGCAAGCGUUAAUCGGACUUACUGGGCGUAAAGCGUGCGUAGGCGGCUAAUUGAGUCGGAUGUGAAAUCCCCGAGCUUAACUUGGGAAUUGCAUUCGAUACUGGUUAGCUAGAGUGUGGGAGAGGAUGGUAGAAUUCCAGGUGUAGCGGUGAAAUGCGUAGAGAUCUGGAGGAAUACCGAUGGCGAAGGCAGCCAUCUGGCCUAACACUGACACUGAGGUGCGAAAGCGUGGGGAGCAAACAGG